rnacentral:tRNA from 1 species
GUCAGGAUGGCCGAGCGGUCUAAGCGCGCAUGCGUCAGGUCGCAGUCUCCCCCCUGGAGGCGUGGGUUCAAAUCCCAUUUCUGACA